GCUGGAAUCGCUAGUAAUCGCGGAUCAGAAUGCCGCGGUGAAUACGUUCCCGGGUCUUGUACACACCGCCCGUCACACCAUGGGAGUCGGAAUGCCCGAAGUCUGUGACCCAACCUGAGAGGGAGGGAGCAGCCGAAGGCAGGUCUGAUGACUGGGGUGAAGUCGUAACAAGGUAAC
rnacentral:rRNA from 1 species